rnacentral:rRNA from 3 species
CAUUUCUAGCUUGCUAGAAGAUGACGAGCGGCGGACGGGUGAGUAAUACUUAGGAAUCUACCUAGUAGUGGGGGAUAGCACGGGGAAACUCGUAUUAAUACCGCAUACGACCUACGGGAGAAAGGGGGCAGUUUACUGCUCUCGCUAUUAGAUGAGCCUAAGUCGGAUUAGCUAGAUGGUGGGGUAAAGGCCUACCAUGGCGACGAUCUGUAGCUGGUCUGAGAGGAUGAUCAGCCACACCGGAACUGAGACACGGUCCGGACUCCUACGGGAGGCAGCAGUGGGGAAUAUUGGACAAUGGGGGAAACCCUGAUCCAGCCAUGCCGCGUGUGUGAAGAAGGCCUUUUGGUUGUAAAGCACUUUAAGCAGUGAAGAAGACUCCGUGGUUAAUACCCACGGACGAUGACAUUAGCUGCAGAAUAAGCACCGGCUAACUCUGUGCCAGCAGCCGCGGUAAUACAGAGGGUGCAAGCGUUAAUCGGAAUUACUGGGCGUAAAGGGAGCGUAGGUGGCUUGAUAAGUCAGAUGUGAAAUCCCCGGGCUUAACCUGGGAACUGCAUCUGAUACUGUUGAGCUAGAGUAGGUGAGAGGAAGGUAGAAUUCCAGGUGUAGCGGUGAAAUGCGUAGAGAUCUGGAGGAAUACCGAUGGCGAAGGCAGCCUUCUGGCAUCAUACUGACACUGAGGCUCGAAAGCGUGGGUAGCAAACAGGAUUAGAUACCCUGGUAGUCCACGCCGUAAACGAUGUCUACUAGUCGUUGGGUCCCUUGAGGACUUAGUGACGCAGCUAACGCAAUAAGUAGACCGCCUGGGGAGUACGGCCGCAAGGUUAAAACUCAAAUGAAUUGACGGGGGCCCGCACAAGCGGUGGAGCAUGUGGUUUAAUUCGAUGCAACGCGAAGAACCUUACCUGGUCUUGACAUAUCUAGAAUCCUGCAGAGAUGCGGGAGUGCCUUCGGGAAUUAGAAUACAGGUGCUGCAUGGCUGUCGUCAGCUCGUGUCGUGAGAUGUUGGGUUAAGUCCCGCAACGAGCGCAACCCUUUUCCUUAGUUACCAGCGGGUUAUGCCGGGAACUCUAAGGAUACUGCCAGUGACAAACUGGAGGAAGGCGGGGACGACGUCAAGUCAUCAUGGCCCUUACGACCAGGGCUACACACGUGCUACAAUGGUAGGUACAGAGGGCAGCUACACAGCGAUGUGAUGCGAAUCUCAAAAAGCCUAUCGUAGUCCAGAUUGGAGUCUGCAACUCGACUCCAUGAAGUAGGAAUCGCUAGUAAUCGCGGAUCAGAAUGCCGCGGUGAAUACGUUCCCGGGCCUUGUACACACCGCCCGUCACACCAUGGGAGUUGAUUGCACCAGAAGUGGAUAGC